CGAACGGCAGCGGGUCAGUAGCAAUACUGAUGCCGGCGAGUGGCGGACGGGUGAGGAAUACAUCGGAAUCUACCUUGUCGUGGGGGAUAACGUAGGGAAACUUACGCUAAUACCGCAUACGAACUACGGUUGAAAGCGGCGGACUCGCAAGAGCGUCGCGCGAUUGGAUGAGCCGAUGUCCGAUUAGCUAGUUGGCGGGGUAAAGGCCCACCAAGGCGACGAUCGGUAGCUGGUCUGAGAGGAUGAUCAGCCACACUGGAACUGAGACACGGUCCAGACUCCUACGGGAGGCAGCAGUGGGGAAUAUUGGACAAUGGGCGCAAGCCUGAUCCAGCCAUGCCGCGUGUGUGAAGAAGGCCUUCGGGUUGUAAAGCACUUUUGUUSGGGAAGAAAAGMCRCCGGUUAAUACCYGGKGKUYMUGACGGUACCSAAAGAAUAAGCACCGGCUAACUUCGUGCCAGCAGCCGCGGUAAUACGAAGGGUGCAAGCGUUACUCGGAAUUACUGGGCGUAAAGCGUGCGUAGGYGGUKWGUUAAGUCUGUCGUGAAAGCCCCGGGCUCAACCUAGGAAUGGCGAUGGAUACUGGCGAGCUAGAGUACGGUAGAGGAGAGUGGAAUUCCCGGUGUAGCAGUGAAA
rnacentral:rRNA from 1 species